GUCGCACGAGAACGCUUCAGCUUGCUGAAGUUAGUAAAGUGGCGCACGGGUGAGUAACGCGUGGGUAAUCUACCCUCGAAUUGGGGAUAACAUCGCGAAAGUGAUGCUAAUACCGAAUGACAUUUUGAAAACAUAUGUUUUCAAGAUCAAAGGUGGCCUCUACAUGUAAGCUAUUGUUUGGGGAUGAGCCCGCGUACCAUUAGCUUGUUGGUAGGGUAAUGGCCUACCAAGGCUACGAUGGUUAGCUGGUCUGAGAGGAUGAUCAGCCACACUGGAACUGACACACGGUCCAGACUCCUACGGGAGGCAGCAGUGAGGAAUUUUGCGCAAUGGGGGAAACCCUGACGCAGCAACGCCGCGUGAGUGAUGAAGGCUUUCGGGUCGUAAAGCUCUGUCAAGUGGGAAGAAUCCGUAUGGUGUUAAUACCGCCAUAUGCUGACGGUACCACUGAAGGAAGCACCGGCUAACUCCGUG
rnacentral:rRNA from 1 species